rnacentral:rRNA from 1 species
UAGGGAAUCUUCCACAAUGGACGCAAGUCUGAUGGAGCAACGCCGCGUGAGUGAAGAAGGUUUUCGGAUCGUAAAGCUCUGUUGUUGGUGAAGAAGGAUAGAGGCAGUAACUGGUCUUUAUUUGACGGUAAUCAACCAGAAAGUCACGGCUAACUACGUGCCAGCAGCCGCGGUAAUACGUAGGUGGCAAGCGUUGUCCGGAUUUAUUGGGCGUAAAGCGAGCGCAGGCGGAAUGAUAAGUCUGAUGUGAAAGCCCACGGCUCAACCGUGGAACUGCAUCGGAAACUGUCAUUCUUGAGUGCAGAAGAGGAGAGUGGAACUCCAUGUGUAGCGGUGGAAUGCGUAGAUAUAUGGAAGAACACCAGUGGCGAAGGCGGCUCUCUGGUCUGCAACUGACGCUGAGGCUCGAAAGCAUGGGUAGCGAACAGGAUUAGAUACCCUGGUAGUCCAUGCCGUAAACGAUGAGCGCUAGGUGUUGGGGACUUUCCGGUCCUCAGUGCCGCAGCAAAUCG